rfam:Neotoma lepida isolate 417 scaffold_939, whole genome shotgun sequence.
GGAGAGAUGGCUCAGUGGUUAAGAGCACUGGCUGCUCUUCCAGAAGACCUGGGUUCAAUUCCCAGCACCC